UUUACAAAUUGAUGAUAAAUUAAUAAUAAAUAACUAUAACUAGUUUUUUAUUUGUGGCUCCAAUCUUUCUCUUUCAAUACAGGUAAGAGAUGAGCUUGAACAAUUACUGGAUGACGUUGAUGAGAUAUGACAGGCCUUUAGUACUUAUUAAGAAAGAUGAGCUCAUCUUCUCCUGUAACUGGUUUUCCUCCUGCCAAUUGGUUUCUUGCUUCUCCUACCCAAGAAGAGCAAGUGUUGCAACUGUACGUGGGGACGAGGACGACACUGAAGAACUUGAAAUGCUGUUGUAGGCUUACUUUAUGCAAAUUGAUGGUACAUUGAACAAAUUAACUAGAGAACCAUCGGCAUAUGUAGGUGCAGGUGCCUUUCGACGCGUAAUUAUUGGAGUAAUGAAGUUAUGGUAGCACUCUCAUUAUGUUCAACUCUACUAUUCCCUUCGAAGGAUUUAAAACUCGGAUUGUCAUGUACCUAGCUAUCAUAUUUUACUACAUGUAAAUUCUUGUAAACUCUUUAUCAAAAAUGGUUAUUUGUCAAUCUUUUUGUACAAAUAUUACAAAGUGUAUGAUAAUUUAUAUAUAUUAAAGU